AGAGUUUGAUCCUGGCUCAGAGCGAACGCUGGCGGCAGGCCUAAUACAUGCAAGUCGAGCGCCCUUUCGGGGGAGCGGCGGACGGGUGAGUAACGCGUGGGAACGUGCCCUAUGGUGCGGAACAACUGAGGGAAACUUCAGCUAAUACCGCAUGAGCGCUACGGCGGAAAGAUUUAUCGCCAUAGGAGCGGCCCGCGUUGGAUUAGCUAGUUGGUGGGGUAAUGGCUCACCAAGGCUACGAUCCAUAGCUGGUCUGAGAGGAUGAUCAGCCACACUGGGACUGAGACACGGCCCAGACUCCUACGGGAGGCAGCAGUAGGGAAUCUUGCGCAAUGGGCGAAAGCCUGACGCAGCCAUGCCGCGUGAAUGAUGAAGGUCUUAGGAUUGUAAAAUUCUUUCACCGGGGACGAUAAUGACGGUACCCGGAGAAGAAGCUCCGGCUAACUUCGUG
rnacentral:rRNA from 1 species